ACCCAACUAAAUCACUCAGUACUGAGAAUUUCUUGAGUACCAAGAAACUUGGUGCCACAAAUGUCUGCACCAUGGAUGUCAAUAUCGCAGUCAUAGGCACCAAGGUUAUCUGCACCAAGUGCACCAGUACUGACAUCAGCACCAAGAAGUCAGUACCAGGGGAAGUACAGACUUAGUUUCAGGCGAUACCACUGGCCAGUGAUGAGUCUGAGGCACCACAAGGAACAAAUCUGGGCCAUAGCCUAUCUUUCAGCUGAGGCACAUAAGCUGAUAUAGAGGCAUUAUGAAUCUUUUGUCUCAUUUUACUAAACACUGAAGAGAGUGGCUUAUGCAUAAGCUCAUCCUGGGAACAAUGCUUCUUCCUACCCCCUUCUGAUGACUGAGUGGAAGAAGCCUUGAGUGCUCUGCCUGACUCAGUAGUCAAAGGGUUCAAUCUCUUCAGUGAAGAACGAGCUUGGAAUAGGACCACUGCUUACUUGAGCAAUAACCAAAAGUGAUAGUUCAGGCUUGGCAAGAUCUUUUGUCUUGGGCUCUGAAGAAGCCCUCUUUGAGCACUCCAGAAAAAAGAGCUUUCUAUGUCCUCUUGGAGACAGAGCAACAGAUCAAGCGUCUGUCACGAAUGUGCCCCUCACUCAUCAAAGCAAAAGAGGCACCUGGAGUGAUCAUCAUUGAGCAGGCUACCAGACUCACAAAAGGAGCAAAUUUUAAAUCCUGGGGACAUAGAUUCAGCCAAAGGAGAUUGGGUGCUGUAGUGGGAAUAUCCCCAACCUAUUAAAAAACUUGAGAGGAAUGUCUGUCAACAGAGAUCAUAAAAUGUAAAACCAGUCAUCUCCUUGAAGGAUCCUGGGAGCUGGAGUGACCAAUCUUGGAGUACAGUAUGUUUUCCAGGAGAAAAAAGGAUCUAAAUGCAAGCUGGGGGAGACAAAUUUCUUUCCUUUUUAAGUCACCAUUAAAGAGCUUGCUCUAGAUGACACAAGAUGGCUGUGGCAGAAGUAAGACUAGAACUCCUGAUCGAUCUUACGUUUAUCUUCUUUUGCAAUAGU